rnacentral:rRNA from 1 species
CGGCGGAUGGGUGAGUAUCACGUGGGCAACCUGCCUGUAAGAUCGGGAUAACUCGCGGAAACGUGAGCUAAUACCGGAUGAAGUCUUACGCCACCUGGCGUAAGGAUGAAAGAUGGCCUUUGUGCUAUCACUUACAGAUGGGCCCGCGGCGCAUUAGCUAGUUGGUGGGGUAAUGGCCUACCAAGGCGACGAUGCGUAGCCGACCUGAGAGGGUGAUCGGCCACACUGGAACUGAGACACGGCCCAGACUCCUACGGGAGGCAGCAGUAGGGAAUCUUCCGCAAUGGACGAAAGUCUGACGGAGCAACGCCGCGUGAGUGAUGAAGGUCUUCGGAUCGUAAAACUCUGUUGUCAGGGAAGAACAAGUGACGUUCGAAUAGGGCGUGACCUUGACGGUACCUGACCAGAAAGCCCCGGCUAACUACGUGCCAGCAGCCGCGGUAAUACGUAGGGGGCAAGCGUUGUCCGGAAUUAUUGGGCGUA